GACGAACCGAGCGAACGUUGUUCGGAAUCACUGGGCGUAAAGCGCACGUAGGCGGAUUGUUAAGUCAGGGGUGAAAUCCUGGAGCUCAACUCCAGAACUGCCUUUGAUACUGGCGAUCUCGAGUCCGGGAGAGGUGAGUGGAACUGCGAGUGUAGAGGUGAAAUUCGUAGGUAUUCGCAAGAACACCAGUGGCGAAGGCGGCUCACUGGCCCGGUACUGACGCUGAGGUGCGAAAGCGUGGGGAGCAAACAGG
rnacentral:rRNA from 1 species